ensembl:lncRNA CYTOR cytoskeleton regulator RNA
GUUCCAAUGAGAAUGAAGGCUGAGGUGUGCGCCUUUUUUUUUUUUUCCUUCUUAGUCGUGUGUACAUCAUUGGGAAUGGAGGGAAAUAAAUGACUGGAUGGUCGCUGCUUUUUAAGUUUCAAAUUGACAUUCCAGACAAGCGGUGCCUGAGCCCGUGCCUGUCUUCAGAUCUUCACAGCACAGUUCCUGGGAAGGUGGAGCCACCAGCCUCUCCUUGACAAGCAAAGUGGAUCAGCAAAGGCUGCAGUCACCAGCAUCUUUUCCAACCUUAAUGAACUGUAUCCUCAAAAGAACACUAUCAGACUGGCUCUGCCGACUUCCAGUUCUGGAACAAGAUGGUUAAACUCAUUUUUCCCUGCUCUGCUCCUCUAAAUACAACUAAGUACCUUGGAAACUAUUCAGCAGACAAUGAUAAAGGGCUCUGAAAGCUAGAAGAAAAGGUGUACUUGCAAGAAACCUCAGGACUUGAGUAACAGCAACAUGGUAAGUUUUCUAAGUUUUCUUUUCGUCUCCCAUAUACGCUGGGCUGUGCUGGAAUCACCAACAGGCACAGAAAAAAUGACAACAAAACAACAACAAAACCCCCAAGAAUAUCCUGUUGUCUUUGGCCAAAGUUCAGGAAAGGGGAGCCCCAACAGAGACCCAGUAGGAAGCUCUAGCCCCUGUUUUGUACAACCCAGGGUCCUUGCAGAGAGAUUGAUCUGCCAGCAGUGGCAUCAGCAGCAAUAGUAGCAGCAGCAAAGCCCUGGACAGUCCUGGCCCCCAGUCCACAACUUAGACACAGCACAUGGCCUAAUUCACCCACAGAAGCAGCCACUGUGAAGCCCUGUGUCUCCCCAGACUCCAUCCAGUGGCAUAAGGAGACCCAGGCCCUGCAGCUUCCUCCCCAUCAUGGAAGGCUGUCCAUCUACAGAGUUUCCAAACAUAAUAAGCACUAAGGAAACAACAUAACAUGAUAUGCCGAAAAAAAAAAUCACAAUUAAAUCAAAAUGAAACAUCAAAAAAUGUCCAAGUAAACCACAGGAAGGCAAGAAAAAAGAAACAAAAGUGUAAUAAACAAAAGGAUCAAUCAGAGAACAAAUAAUAAUAAAAUAUCAGACUUAGUCCUAAUAUAUCAAUAAUUAUCUUAAAUGUAAAUGUUCUAAAUGCAUCCAUUAAAAUGCAGAGAUUGGCAGAGUGUAUUACAAAACAUGACCCAGCUAUGUGUUGUUUACAAGAAACUCACUUCAAAUUCAAUGAUAUAGGUAGACUGACAGCAAAUUGAUGGAAAAAGUUAUAACGUGUAAACAUUAGUCAGAAGGAAGCACAAGUGGCUAUGUUAACAUCAGAAAAAGCAGACUUCAGAGCAAAGAAAGUUACUAUAGGCAAAGAGGGAAAUUACAUAAUAACAAAAA